rnacentral:rRNA from 1 species
AUUGAACGCUGGCGGCAUGCUUAAGACAUGCAAGUCGAACGGUAACGAUGGGUGCUUGCAUCCAGGCGACGAGUGGCGGACGGGUGAGUACAACUUAGGAAUCUGCCUAGUAGCUGGGGAUAACUUUAAGAAAUUGAAGCUAAUACCGAAUACGCCCUACGGGGGAAAGCGGGGGAUCUUCGGACCUCGCACUAUUAGAUGAGCCUAAGCCGGAUUAGCUAGUUGGUGGGGUAAAGGCCUACCAAGGCGACGAUCCGUAGCUGUUCUGAGAGGAAGAUCAGCCACACUGGGACUGAGACACGGCCCAGACUCCUACGGGAGGCAGCAGUCGGGAAUAUUGGACAAUGGGGGCAACCCUGAUCCAGCAAUGCCGCGUGUGUGAAGAAGGCCUGCGGGUUGUAAAGCACUUUCAAAUGUGAAGAAGGGUUUGGUGUUAAUAGCGCCAGACAUUGACGUUAACAUUAGAAGAAGCACCGGCUAAUUUAG